rnacentral:tRNA from 1 species
GCCUGGGUGGCUCAGUCAGUUGAGCAUCUGACUUCAGCUCAGGUCAUAAUCUCACACAGUUCGUGAGUUCAAGCCCCACAUCAGAUU